GCUUGCUUCUUCUGAUUUUAGCGGCGGACGGGUGAGUAACACGUGGGCAACCUACCUUGUAGAUUGGGAUAACUCCGGGAAACCGGGGCUAAUACCGAAUAAACCAUUUUGCUUCAUGGCAAGAUGUUGAAAGGCGGCUUCGGCUGUCACUACUAGAUGGGCCCGCGGCGUAUUAGCUAGUUGGUAGGGUAAUGGCCUACCAAGGCGACGAUACGUAGCCGACCUGAGAGGGUGAUCGGCCACACUGGGACUGAGACACGGCCCAGACUCCUACGGGAGGCAGCAGUAGGGAAUCUUCCACAAUGGACGAAAGUCUGAUGGAGCAACGCCGCGUGAGUGAAGAAGGUUUUCGGAUCGUAAAACUCUGUUGUAAGGGAAGAACACGUACGAGAGUAACUGCUCGUACCUUGACGGUACCUUAUUAGAAAGCCACGGCUAACUACGUGCCAGCAGCCGCGGUAAUACGUAGGUGGCAAGCGUUGUCCGGAAUUAUUGGGCGUAAAGCGCGCGCAGGCGGUUCUUUAAGUCUGAUGUGAAAGCCCACGGCUCAACCGUGGAGGGUCAUUGGAAACUGGAGAACUUGAGUACAGAAGAGGAAAGCGGAAUUCCACGUGUAGCGGUGAAAUGCGUAGAGAUGUGGAGGAACACCAGUGGCGAAGGCGGCUUUCUGGUCUGUAACUGACGCUGA
rnacentral:rRNA from 1 species